rnacentral:lncRNA from 1 species
CUGGAUUCAUAUCUCACGAUGGCUAGGAAGUUAUCCGGACUUCUAAUUUUAGCAUGGUUGGUAUUGGUGAUGCUAGAUUCAUGGUCCCUUUGAUAAUCUUCGAUGACGAUAUGGUUGAUGCUCUUUCAAUUUGAUGUGUCCCAAGAAGUUCCUAUAUGGUGUUGGAUAAUGUAGAGUUACAAGAUUUGUGGCCCGUUGCUGUGAUGAUGGGAGGGUGGUGCUCCAAAUGGGGCUCAUUAUUAGCGUCCUUGAGUUUCAAGAUAUUGGAACUAGGUAAUCUUCAAUGACAUGGAUUGAAAGUGAAGAAUGACACUAGAGCGCUCUGGUUUACUCAUAAUACAUCCUUUUUAUUCACUAGAGACUUAACAGAGAUGUAAUUGUGAUAUCGAUUUAAUAGAACCCCCUUCACAAAAAAGUUCAAAGUAAACUUUGUUCUGACAUGAGCCAGACUUGGAAUAUACUUUGAAAUAUAGUUUAACAGUUGGAAGAUCAUAUAUUGGUCAAUUAUGUUGUUUAGAUCCAUCAGAUUUAACAGUUAGCUUCUGAAAUUUGCUGAUAUGUAUUGAAACACCCACCGGCUAAU